rnacentral:lncRNA from 1 species
AAAACUAUAAAAGUAGUUCCUAGGUUCACUUUUCUUUCCCAAUAUUAUAAGAGCCAAUUCAUCAGUUGCCUCGUGAGGCCACACGAACUAUGCAGGAAUAACUCCGAUGGUGUUUACCCAAUUAUCCGCGUCAACUUGUCUCUAUCCAUUAGGGCUUAAACUCAAAAGGCAAUACCGAAAAAACAUUUUACGAUCAAUAUUUCUUUUAAAUCUGGCACGCAGCCUUG